AUGAACGCUAGCGGCAGGCCUAAUACAUGCAAGUCGAACGGGAUCCAGAUCAAAGCUUGCUUUGGUCUGGUGAGAGUGGCGCACGGGUGCGUAACGCGUGAGCAACCUACCCUUGUCAGGGGGAUAGCCCGGCGAAAGUCGGAUUAAUACCGCAUGACAUCAUUGAGAGGCAUCUUUCGAUGAUCAAAGAUUUAUCGGACAAGGAUGGGCUCGCGUGACAUUAGCUAGUUGGUAAGGUAACGGCUUACCAAGGCUGCGAUGUCUAGGGGCUCUGAGAGGAGAAUCCCCCACACUGGUACUGAGACACGGACCAGACUCCUACGGGAGGCAGCAGUAAGGAAUAUUGGUCAAUGGACGGAAGUCUGAACCAGCCAUGCCGCGUGCAGGAGGACGGCCCUAUGGGUUGUAAACUGCUUUUAUACGGGAACAAACGUCGGUACGUGUACCGGUCUGAGUGUACCGUAAGAAUAAGGAUCGGCUAACUCCGUG
rnacentral:rRNA from 1 species